CCUCCGAAGGGCUGGGCUUGCUGGUCAGAAGGUCUCCGGAGGUGCAGGGCGGGGGUUAAGGUUAGGGGUGUGGUUGGGGUGGGGCCGGCUCUUAAUUUCGUAGAGGCCGCUCUGGGGUCGUGGGUGGAGGUCGAGGAGGAGGAGGAGGGGGGCGGAGGCCGCUAGGUCCAUUGGAGCGGGUUGUGUGGGCGCGCCAGCUAAGGGCGAGAUAGAGCCGCUCGCCACGAGUAUGGCGGCACUAAGCGACGGCGUCUCUACCUCGCGCCCGCCCCGCCCUCCCUGCCGGGGAAGCCGCCUAAGCCGGCGGACCCCCCGCGGGGCUACGGGCCGGAGAAGCCGCCCCCGUCCCUGGGGAAGCUGCUGGGGAAGAAGUGCGUCGGGAAGCCCCGGUCCUACCCGCCGGGACCUCCUUACAAGCCCGGCUACCCGCCGCCGGGGCCGUACAAGCCGCGGAAGCCCGGGCCCCUGCCCAAGGAACUCGUUCGAGGGCGCUCCUCGCCACGACAGUAGUGCCUCUAACUACUCCUGCUUCUCCCCCCGCUGCCCCUCGCGCCGCCGGCCCUCCGCUUGGCGCCCCGUAUACAAGUCCUCGGCCUACUACCCUUACUACCCUACGUCCCCCCAGUCCAGGUCGACGCCGCACUAGGGUCGUCCCGCUUGCCACCGCCGGUCGGCGUCAGCGCAAGCAAGUGGAUAGUCUCGAGGUGCCACUGAAUACCACCCUAAUUACCUCGGAUAAUAUGGCGAAGGUUCUGGGCCUCCUCACCGUCGCUACCCUAAUGACAGCUUCUUUCGUUCCUUCGUCUGUGAUGCUGAUUUCUCCGGUGAGUAUCCUAGAGGUCCCCUUAAGUACUAUUCCCUGUGAGCCAUUGUUCCUUCGACUUUAGUCUGCCCUUCCACCUGUCAUGUGUCUAUGACGUGUUAGAGUUACUUCUACUCAAUGGACCUAAACUUCUUAGUACCUUCCCGUUACGACCUGUUGUGAAUGGUCCGACCUUGGUUUUACGACCAUAUAGAUUACCACUGUUGAGACCUUUGGCACCAUGGUUGCCACGGUCCGUCGGACGUGUCUUGACCCGCGAGGGGCCUUACGUCGUUGUCGUACUAGGUUCCUCCGUGCUGUUGCCCGUCGGUUUCGGUUUCAGUAGCGCCUAGUAGGGUUAGAGGACUUCCCACUUCUCUCCGGGCUACUCCGCACUACCGGCCCAGUUUUAGUGUUGAGUAGGGUACUAGAGCACGUCUCCCUUACCGGCCUAGGUGCCUCGUUUACUUAUUUCGUGACGACGAAACGCGUUCGUCAAGUCGAAGCUCACAUGCAAGGGGAUCGAUCUAUGCUCAUCCUUCGAUUUGACCUUCACUACCUCCGGACCUCCAGGCCUACACUAGACGAUACACGGUGGCGAGCCGGCGCGGGACAUGGGACAUAGCACUUAUGUAAGACACUAACUCAGAUAACACAAAUGACAGACUAGACGGACAUUUCUAUACGAUAUUCGAGAUGAUAGACAUUACAGGGGACCACGGCCCAAUGUGCUUAUUGGGAUCUUCUUAUGUUCGACACACGGACGUCAUCAUAAGUCGAAGGACACCUACCAACGAAUUAUUUUGACCAUACGUGACCACGAACCGACUCCCACAGGUUAGUUAAGAAGUGCUU
rnacentral:rRNA from 1 species